AACGAACGCUGGCGGCAUGCCUAACACAUGCAAGUCGAACGAGACCUUCGGGUCUAGUGGCGCACGGGUGCGUAACGCGUGGGAACCUGCCCUUAGGUUCGGAAUAACUCCCCGAAAGGGGUGCUAAUACCGGAUAAUGUCUUCGGACCAAAGAUUUAUCGCCUUUGGAUGGGCCCGCGUUGGAUUAGCCAGUUGGUAGGGUAAAAGCCUACCAAGGCGACGAUCCAUAGCUGGUCUGAGAGGAUGAUCAGCCACACUGGGACUGAGACACGGCCCAGACUCCUGCGGGAGGCGGCAGUGGGGAAUAUUGGACAGUGGGCGAAAGCCUGAUCCAGCAAUGCCGCGUGAGUGAUGAAGGCCUUAGGGUUGUAAAGCUCUUUUACCCGGGAUGAUAAUGACAGUACCGGGAGAAUAAGCGCCGGCUAACUCCGUG
rnacentral:rRNA from 1 species